rnacentral:tRNA from 1 species
AAAACUUUAAGUUAAAAAAACUAAUAAUCUUCAAAGUUAAAAAUAAAUUUAAAUGAUAUAAUUUAAGUUUUA